AGGACGAACGCUGGCGGCGUGCUUAACACAUGCAAGUCGAACGGAAAGGCCCUUUCGGGGGUACUCGAGUGGCGAACGGGUGAGUAACACGUGGGUGAUCUGCCCUGCACUUCGGGAUAAGCUUGGGAAACUGGGUCUAAUACCGGAUAGGACUACGGACUUCAUGGUUUGUGGUGGAAAGCUUUUGCGGUGUGGGAUGGGCCCGCGGCCUAUCAGCUUGUUGGUGGGGUGAUGGCCUACCAAGGCGACGACGGGUAGCCGGCCUGAGAGGGUGUCCGGCCACACUGGGACUGAGAUACGGCCCAGACUCCUACGGGAGGCAGCAGUGGGGAAUAUUGCACAAUGGGCGCAAGCCUGAUGCAGCGACGCCGCGUGGGGAUGACGGCUCGGUUGUAACCUCUUCACCAUCGGCGAGCCGGAGCUUUGUUCUGGUGACGGUAGGUGGAGAGAGCACGGCACUACGUGCCAGCAGCCGCGGU
rnacentral:rRNA from 1 species